UACGUAGGGGGCAAGCGUUGUCCGGAAUCAUUUGGGCGUAAAGCGCGUGUAGGCGGUUUCGGUAAGUCUGCUGUGAAAGUCCAGGGCUCAACCCUGGGAUGCCGGUGGAUACUGUCGGACUAGAGUACGGAAGAGGCGAGUGGAAUUCCCGGGUGUAGCGGUGAAAUGCGCAGAUAUCGGGAGGAACACCAAUUGCGAAGGCAGCUCGCUGGGACGUUACUGACGCUGAGACGCGAAAGCGUGGGGAGCAAACAGGG
rnacentral:rRNA from 1 species